AUGCGCGGGUUCAAUUCCCGUCGUUCGCCGUGGAUGUAGCCAAGUGGAUCAAGGCAGUGGAUUGUGAAUCCACC
rnacentral:tRNA from 1 species